CUGGGAAUUUCUCCUACCCCGCAAACCGUCCUACCCGUUGUUCCUGAGCAUGUGCGCGCAUGCGCACAACACAUAAAGUGAAGCAAAGCGCAUCCGGCUGUGAUUUAAUGCUACCCCGUUGUCAUAUUUGCAGGAAAAUAGCUUCGGUGAAGUCUGCUGUCAAGUUACUGGACACGUUGUAUUUGCACAACACUUCUGAAUCCGCAGCUUCGGUGUUUUAAGGCUGUUUCGAUAUGGAGAAGAAGUGGGAAGAGAUUUACGCGUUUAUUUCUGCGGGCUCCAACCCUUCAGGAUAUGACAAGGCUCAGAGGCAAAACCUCAGAAGAUAUGCCUCAAAAUUCCAACAAAAGGAUGGAGAACUCUUUGUUGGAACCAGAAGAGUAGUAAAAACCAUGG